AGGUAAUGUCUGGGAACUGCCUGAUGGAGGGGGAUAACGUACUGGAAACGGUAGCUAAUACCGCAUAACGUCGCAAGACCAAAGUGGGGGACCGUUCGGGGCCUCAUGCCAUCAGAUGUGCCCAGAUGGGAUUAGCUAGUAGGUGGGGUAACGGCUCACCUAGGCGACGAUCCCUAGCUGGUCUGAGAGGAUGACCAGCCACACUGGAACUGAGACACGGUCCAG
rnacentral:rRNA from 1 species